UUUGGAGUCUGAUCAGCUCCAAUGACCAAGCUGAGAGGGGGGACGUGACAUGACUGUGUGACUGAUUUCUUUCUGCUACCUCUACCCUCUUACUACUUCCCUCCCCUGGCCCAUUUCCAGAAAGUAUGCUCAGCACAGGCUUAGCAGGCAACACCACAACGAAUAACAGUAAUAGUGAGUCCUUGGGGCCUGUGGAAGGAACUGCUACCUGAGAUGUGCAUCCUGAAGAGCACCUGAGGCUACAGGCUAAUGAGCUGUCAGACCCUUCCUGAAGAAGUUGCAUUUCAGCCGAAGGCCUGAAGAUGGCAGCAGAAAGCAGAAGCAAAUCAAAGGAGAUGCUGGGCAGAGAGCAGCAAAGAACAAUGACAUCACCAGAGGACUAAGGUGCUUCGUAGCACUGCAUGCACAAGCUGCCCCGGCGAUGUUAUGUUCUUUGGCUGCCUCUUCACUUGUAUUCCCUGGUCACUCACGUUCCCAUCAUGCUUCUCCUCCCCUCAUCUGGCGGUGAGAUAAUCUGUAGAAGACUAUGUUCCCAUGUAUUAUUUCAGGGAGGAGACUUCUUUGCAAUACUGUUGAUUAAAAUGUCUUCGGCUUUGA